rnacentral:rRNA from 1 species
AGAAUCAACGCUGGCGGCGUGCCUAACACAUGCAAGUCGCACGAGAAAGGGGAGCAAUACCUGAGUAAAGUGGCGCACGGGUGAGUAACACGUGAAUUAUCUACCUCCGAGUGGGGAAUAACUGAGAGAAAUCUUAGCUAAUACCGCAUAACACUUACGAGUCAAAGCAGCAAUGCGCUUGGAGAGGAGUUCGCGGCAGAUUAGUUAGUUGGCGGGGUAAUGGCCACCAAGACGAUGAUCUGUAUCCGGCCUGAGAGGGCGCACGGACACACUGGAACUGAAACACGGUCCAGACUCCUACGGGAGGCAGCAGUGGGGAAUUUUGCGCAAUGGGGGAAACCCUGACGCAGCAACGCCGCGUGGAGGAUGAAAUAUCUUGGUAUGUAAACUCCUUUCGAUGGGGAAGAUUAUGACGGUACCCAUAGAAGAAGCCCCGGCUAACUUCGUGCCAGCAGCCGC